CCUACGGGGGGCUGCAGUCGAGAAUCUUCCGCAAUGCACGAAAGUGUGACGGAGCGACGCCGCGUGAUGGAUGAAGCCCUUCGGGGUGUAAACAUCUUUUAUAGAUGAAGAAAUUAUUGACAUUAGUCUAUGAAUAAGGGGCUCCUAACUCUGUGCCAGCAGGAGCGGUAAUACAGAGGCCCCGAGCGUUAUCCGGAAUUAUUGGGCGUAAAGGGUGCGUAGGUGGUAGUAUUAGUCGAGUGUCAAAGACCCGGGCUCAACCUGGGGAAGGCAUU
rnacentral:rRNA from 1 species